GAUGAACGCUGGCGGCGUGCCUAAUACAUGCAAGUCGAGCGAACAGACGAGGAGCUUGCUCCUUUGACGUUAGCGGCGGACGGGUGAGUAACACGUGGAUAAUCUACCUAUAAUACGGGGAUAACUUCGGGAAACCGGAGAUAAUACCGGAGAAUAUAUUGAACCGCAUGGUUCAAUAGAGAAAGACGGCUUUGCUGUCUCUUAUAGAUGGAUCCGCGCCGCAUUAGCUAGUUGGUAAGGUAACGGCUUACCAAGGCAACGAUGCGUAGCCGACCUGAGAGGGUGAUCGGCCACACUGGAACUGAGACACGGUCCAGACUCCUACGGGAGGCAGCAGUAGGGAAUCUUCCGCAAUGGGCGAAAGCCUGACGCAGCAACGCCGCGUGAGUGAUGAAGGUCUUCGGAUCGUAAAACUCUGUUAUUAGGGAAGAACAAAUGUGUAAGUAACUAUGGCCGUCUUGACGGUACCUAAUCAGAAAGCAACGGCUAACUACGUG
rnacentral:rRNA from 1 species